rnacentral:rRNA from 1 species
AACGAACGCUGGCGGCAGGCCUAACACAUGCAAGUCGAAGGAGAAGCCAUCUUCGGAUGGUGGAAACUGGCGCACGGGUGAGUAACGCGUGGGUAUCUACCUCGGGGUGGGGAAUAACCGCUGGAAACGGCGGCUAAUACCGCAUACGCCUUAAGAGGGAAAGCUCCGGCGCCCUGAGAGGAGCCCGCGUUGGAUUAGCUUGUUGGUGGGGUAACGGCCUACCAAGGCUACGAUCUAUAGCUGGUCUGAGAGGAUGAUCAGCCACACUGGGACUGAGACACGGCCCAGACUCCUACGGGAGGCAGCAGUGGGGAAUAUUGGACAAUGGGCGCAAGCCUGAUCCAGCCAUGCCGCGUGAGUGAAGAAGGCCUUAGGGUUGUAAAGCUCUUUCACCUGCGAAGAUGAUGACGGUAGCAGGAGAAGGAGCCCCGGCUAACUCCGUG